ACUACCCCGCUCGCCUUCACCGUCCUCCAUCUCUAUAUUUUGCAUCCCCCUCCGACCUCUAUCGACGCUUCCCGUUCUUGUUCGGUCCUUUCGCUCGGUUCGUUUUUUAUGGCUCGAGUCCUUUCUGCCCCAACCCUAAUCGGGGCCUCUCCGGCUGCCGAGAGGGCGGAGCUCGAGCCGGAGGGCUUCUCGGAGAUCAAGGUACUGGUGAUUCGCUGCCUCGAGGAUGCCAUCGUAGUUCGUUGAGAGGCCCCCGAUUGGUUGCCCUUCAUCCCCGGCUCCUCCUACUUGGUCCCGCCCCACAGUCGCUCCUGUGGCGUCGCAGAGCUCGUCAGCAAGCUCGCGAACCCGAUGACAGAGGAGGAGAUUGUAUCGUUUACCAUUAUUCGUGGAUGAUCCUCGGUCUAUUUUAUGAAAGGUUCUAAAGGUGGGGCUACUGAUGGACGUGGACAAGAAGUGAGGCAGGAACAAAUCUUCAGAGACAAGCUUUUGUGAGAAGAUUUUAGCUUGACUUGGCUCUCAUCCUCAAGUUGGCAGCUGUGAUGUUUCUGCUCGGUCGGAUGGAUAAGAACAGAAACUUAUGCUUCGGAUGCUGUGUGCCUCACUGGUGUACCUAUAUAGAACUAUAGCUCUUCCCCCCUUACAAGAUGGCUUCAACAAGCAGGAGCACCUACUCAGCCUCAAUAUGUCAAUAUGGGACAUGGCUUUCCUGGUGGCCAUGAUGAUGGGAAUAAUCCUUAAACUGGCAUCUACUAUAAAGAACUCAGGAGUUGAGCUGCAGAACCAGAUUCAACUCACAGAAGACCAUAUUGCUGGAUUAUUGUGAAAGCGAACCAAGUGCCUGUCACUGGUUUUGUGACCCUCUCUUUUGCCAGGUUUUCAUCACAAUGAUUAUGCUGAGAGGCCAAAGCUAAGACAAGACGAGCAUCUUUAAAAGGCAAGUUCUUCUUUACUAAUUAACUUCUUGUGAAUACUUUCGCACUCUUAUCUACUUCUAUCAGCAAUUCCAUCCUUUUGACUUUUAUCUUAAGAAUUAUAUAUUACUUUGAUCUCC